rnacentral:lncRNA from 1 species
UGUAAUGUUUAAUCUAUUGUAUCUUCUUCAGACCUAAUCAUCUCGAUUCUCUCAUCGAUCGUCGUUUUUUUCUAAUAAAGUUGAUCGUGUUUGUUGAAUGUUUCAAUAGUUGGAUUUUGUUUCAAGCGAUCUUAACAUUGGAUUUGUUUCUAUCGAUCUUCAGCAGCCUAAGAUUGACAUGUGUGGGAGAAGGAUGUCACAUAGAAAGUUUGGGUACCCUAGCCAUGGUCCCGUGGAUUUCCUUCCAAGAAGUGUACUGCUCACCAUAGAGAAAAAGUUAAUUUAAGAAACGAAAAUGGUAUUGAAAAUCUUUGUUUGAAUGUUAAAGGAAUAAAGAGGGAAUCAAGUAGAAUCUUCAUCAAACAAAGGUACGUUUAUUCCUACUACUUUUGUUUUAAUUAUAUUCAUGUUACAGUAGUUUUUGAUUUAUAAACAGUGACGUUAAAACAUGAAUUGGCCUCUGACCAACAUAAAGUGUGCUAAAAGUGUGUAAGGGUCUUCAAACCAUAAAAAUCGUGUCAAAGGUGUGUCCUUGAUCUAAUGAAAUGCUACUGCAGAAAGGAAAUAAUUAUACACACACACACUAGAACCGGUUGUUGUUUAUAUCGAUCUAUUUUUACAUUUCAAUGUCGGAUAUGAUCUGAUAUGUUUCCAAAUGAUUAAACUAAUUAGUUGUGUGCCUGUGUUACUUUCUGUUCAAUUUGGUUAUGUACAUAUUUUAAUGCACUCAUUUUAACUGGAUUAUCGCCACACCAUUUGUACAACUACACUUCCCUAUUUCUUCCCCUUUUUUGUUUCAAUCAUCGUACAAUCACCAACCCUAAUUCUCAACUAUUAUGAUUUGUUGAUGAUUUUGAGGAGGUAAUUGACCGGUUAAAGGAGUCGUUGAUUAGAAUUGUGAACAUGAUGAAGAUCACCAGUGUAGCGGCAUUGGUGUUGUGGAAGUCACUACACUCAGUUUUAUCGUCGGUGAAUCAUGAGGUUAGGUUAGGGUUGCGACAUUGUUGGCGGACAUUGUGGCAUUGAGUUUCAGUACAUACGAUUGCGGAAGUUUUUCCGGUGCUGGCUGUUCUCCCGAUCUCGCUGUUCACUACAUAAAUCCGGGCCUUUUUAUUUGCCAACGACGGCAACAGAGCUUUUUGGAUGUUCUUAUGCAGUGCUUUUUCAUUUGCCAGCGAUGGCAACAGAGCUACAAAGACAACUGGCAUGUUUAUCCAGUCAGGUUUGGUUGUUGGUAGAUCGGGUCUCUAAAAUUUUGAUAUUAAAUUCGAGUGCUGACCCGUAUGGUUUUUUAGUUAGCUUUUUGGAUGUGGUUGUGUGACAGAAUAAGAUAAUCAAUCAUCACAAACCAGUUAUCCUGCACAAUCCAAAAUUUAUUUUUUCAACAAAUAGUGUAUGAACUGGGGAACAAAAUGGUUCAUAAAUAUUUAGUGGUUCUCAGUUGUACCCCCCCCCCCCCCCCCGCGCACCAAACACACACAUAUUUUUUGAUGUCUUUUUACCCAGUGGCGGAGGUUGAAUGAAAACUCGACGGGGGCCGGACUCUUAAAAUCAAAAUCGGGGGUGGCCGGGAUCUUAAUAGUCCAAUAUUUUAUACUACAAAGCAUUUUUUUGGCAGUUUUCGGUUAAAUUUAACACUACGAGCGAAAAAAACAGGGGCGGUGACAUCCCCUGACCCUAAAGAAGCUCCGCCGAUGUUUGUACUCAGCCUAAAUUUUCUUACAAGCUAAUAAACUUUGUAUGCAAUCACAAAAUAAGAUUUGGUAACAAUAGUAUGCAAUCACAGCAUUCUAUAUAGUUGCUACAUCAGUAUAACUUUCUGACUAAAUAAUAAUGUUAAUAUAGUAUUAAAGCCCAGAGGUCGUAAUCAUGGAUUAACUGGGCAGAAAAGACAGGAUAAACCAAAGAAGCUUUUGAGUUAUUUGAUACUGAUGAAUCUGUUAUUUGCAUCAAUGGAUAUCGACGAGAAUAUGCGAGCCGUACUGAUUGACUGGCUCAUUUAAGUAACUUCAGCUGGAAAUCUUGUUGUGGUGCUCCAGGGGUAUCUUCGUCAUUUCAGGUUGGGUAAUGAGUUAUCUGUGUGUGCAGCGAGACGUUUGGGGUUUCUCAGCCUUUGUUAUAUCCACAGUGGUUGCUGCAAGAUUCUCACCCUGCUCAUUAUUCAUAUAGGCGUUAUGUUUGGUCAUCCGGGAUUGCUGGGAGUAUUUCGGGUUGGGACAUACGGGCUGUGAGGAGACCUGUAUUGGGCAGCUGGGUUGGGAUUUUAAUCAUCUGUUGAAGGCCCGGGCUUGGUCGGAGUUAUGUUUGUUCUGUGCUAUUGAGGUGGAGCCCACUUUAAGCUUUAUGGCCCAGAUUAAUUACAAAAUUUGGAUGCACGAGGCCUGUUUUGCUGGUGCCAUCCUGGGCUGUCUGGCUAUGCUUAUGGUCGGGCUGAUGAUUGUCAAGAUGAAGACCCACCGCUGGGUUUGCAAAAUGGUGUUCAAGACUCAGAUGCAUGAUGGUGUUGAGAAGCCGCGCAAUAUGGCAAAGGUCAUUAACUUAAGGUGGGUUGGUAGUAAGUGGGCUCGCCAUUUCAAUGCUCAAAACGAUAAAAAUAGAUUCGCCCGGUUAGCAAUGGAAGUUCGUUACCUGGUGUCGACAUGAUAGACAACUGCUUUGAAUAGAGAUUCACCUGGUUAAUAGGUUGUGGGAGUUGAGUAAAGAACAAUGGGAUGCCAUUUGGUUGUGGUUCUGGUGCAAAGUACACAUAUAGUGAAAAAGUGGUGUUGCAUGAAUAAUUUAAAUGUAAAUGUAAAAUGUGUUUGUAGAUUUUGUAAUUGCAGUUAUUGUUAUAUGAUGACUUAAUAACAUAAGUUUUUAUUGU